ensembl:snRNA U6 U6 spliceosomal RNA
GUUCUCACUUCUGUAGCACAUAUACUAAAAUAGAAAUGAUACAGAGAAUAUUAGUGUGUCCUCUGUGCAAGGAUGACAUGCAAUUCCUAAAGCAUUACAUAUUUUUU